rnacentral:sRNA from 1 species
AAAAAAAAAAAAAAAGAGAGAAGAGAUGGGAAAAGGAGAGAUAAGAGAUGGCCGAUGGAAAAAAUGUAGUUAAAAGGUAAAUAAAUAAAAUAAUUUAUCUAAAGUGCCUUCUCCAUUUAAAGUACCUAAUUAGGAACUAACUUUCAAAAAAGUGUCUAAUCACGUAAUAUUCCCUUUUUUAUAUCCCUUACACACCUCUCUCUCUUUCUCAUCAAACAAAAACGUUUUUUUAACUACUUUAC